UGAUAGCUAUGAAGCGCGAGGUUGCUGUCAAAGACAGGUUUUCCGUGGAGCGAAUGUCAAGUUAGGAAACUGACGACAA
rnacentral:ncRNA from 1 species